UAAAAUGAAAUGGAGCUCAUUAAUUGCUGAAAAAAUGCUUGGAACAGCCCAUCGUAGGGUUACCAAAGGCAUCGUUCAGCCGGUCGGGAACCAUAAUCUUGUUGCUUUCUUUUGGCAUCGGAGUUCGAACAGCAGUUUUAAAGCCUAACUCCCUUAAAACAAAAGCAGACACCUUUACGCUGAUUUGGGGAAAAUGAGUCCUUAAAAACAUUUGGAAAAGCAAAUCAGGUUUCUCGUCACUAUCAAAAGUUUGGAAAACUGCGACGACAAUGAAAAACGCUGCCAGAAAUUCAGCAGAAAUCUACCUUGGGUGAAAAGAYCUAUUUAGGCACAAACAUGUUUUUGGUGAUGUCACCUACAACGACCUGACUGUGCCAAGGAGAAGAAUUUGGGUGCCCUGGAGUCAGGGAGGCGACAAACAAAACACGACUGGAAAAACACCGGGAAGGCCUUUCUCUGUUAUUAAAACAUCUGACGUGGACACGAGACACCGAGCUAGACGCGAGCAAGGCCUCAGCGGAUCCAGGGCGAGCRGCAGCAGAAGGGAAACCCUGCUUUGGGGCAGCUUUUGACGAAACCCRUCCACCCCAGCCUUCGUUUCCGCAGCAGAGAUCGCUGGACAAUUUGCAGGUGCAGAUUGAGCGCUGGGACCGGCCCGUUGCACGGGGGGGCCGGAGGGAGGGCGGAUGUGCGGAUGGGUCUGCAGUCGCUCCGCUGAAAACACUCGGCCUCGCACCUGGACGCAUGGCUGGAGCUGCAACCCACCUAAUCACUACAGGAGUUAAAUCGGAGUGA
rnacentral:lncRNA from 1 species